AAAUUUAAGAAUAAUUUUUUAUAUAUAAAAGUUUUGCAAAUUGUAUCAUUCUCUAACACAUUUAUAUCUAUAGUUUAAUUAUAUAUAUAGUAACAUUAUACAUACCACAUAACAUUUUUGGUUUUAUAUAAUCUUUUCUAAAUUAGGAUGAUUUGAUAUGUUUAAUAUUAGUGGUCUUAAAAAUAAUAAAUUAAAGAUUUAACCCGUAUUGAAACGGUGGAUUAAUUAUAUUUUACUUUUUUAUUAAUGUUGAUUCAAAAACCCGUCCCUCCAAAUCCGUUUUGCCAAAAAGCUAUUUAUUUUGUUAAUAUUAAUUUUAUUAAUAUUAAUUUUAUUAAUAUUAAUUUUAUUAAUGAUAUGACUCUGAAUUAGAAUCUAAACAUUUUAGAUAAUAACAUAUGAGUGCACCAUAUUUAUUUAAUAGGAGAAUAUACCAUAUGACCCGAAUGCACUUUUAUCCAAAUCCACCAAAAAAGUCUUGCAAAAAUACUAUAGAGAUAAGAAACGAUAGUCGGUUUUGAUAGGUAUAAGAUUAGCAAAUAUAUUAGUUAGCUUAAAUUAGUUAAAGAAUACAAAUUGAAAAGGUAUAUUACACUUUAUUUGAAUAUAGUAUCAAAACUUAUAUAACACAGAGAUCUGAUAAUUUUUUAAUUGAUGAAUACUUUUUUGUGCUAAUUUUUAUGUGAUUAAGAUUUAAUUGAUUUCGUAUAUAAAAUAUUAAAUUGACUUAUUUGUUUAUAAUUUGGUAACAUAUAGAUAUUUGAAUAUUCAAUAUAUUUUGCUUCAGUUUAAGAAGUCUUUGAUGAUCCGUCUUUAGAUCCAAUAAGCCCUAUAAUCUAGAUAUUAACCUGCGGUAUAUAUUUUAGUUAAACUAAAAAAUU
rnacentral:sRNA from 1 species